rnacentral:lncRNA from 1 species
AAGAUACAGCAGGCUGUUUCAUUAAGCUGAGAUGCCCUUCCUGGAAGAAUGUGUUCAUGUCUCAUAUUGACUGCUUGGAAAUGGUGCAGGAAGUCAACAUGGAGCUGAAAUAAUGGCAUAAGACACCAUAAAACAACUUGAUGAUUGCUUAGAGCAACAGUGGUAGACAAUUACUUAAAGAUUAAAAGCAUAAAUCAAUC